AGCGUCCGUGAUGUUUCACAAUUACCUACAUUGUCUGAUACUCAUGAAGACAACACUGGCUGAGACGCCU
rnacentral:snoRNA from 1 species